UUUUUUUUUUGUUUUUUGGGCUGAGGGUUCACUGGAAUUGGAGAAUGGAAAAUGGGUUCCUUCUCAUUCCCACCAUUGAAAGGUUAUUCCCUUUUCUUGAAUCUACACGAUCUCUUUUGGAAGAAGUUUCUUUCUUUGCUUUUUCUCUCUCCCUGGUUUAUUAUGCUGAAACUGGGUCUCUUUGCCCCUUGUAUUCUUUUGUUACUUGGAAUGGUAGAUGAUGAUCUGCUUACUCUCAUGAGUUAAUCUGUUGAUGUAAUCUGAUUCCUAAUGCAGGUGCUUGCUGCUCUUUCUUUUAUUGAACCAUAUAGCGUAGAGAACUACAAAAUCUUUACGUGUUGCGCUCUCAUCAUAUCCUGCAACCCAUUACAUGACUCGAUGUAGGAUACAUGUUUGACAAGGUUCUGAAACUCUUAGGUUUUGAAACGAUCAUACUUCUUCGUGUUUUGAGAUUGCAGCUAAUCUGAAACUCUCUUCACUACAUCUUCUUCGUGUUUUAAUUAUGAUUAUAUUCUCUCUCGUAUCAAUUUGUUGGACAAUUGGUAGUGGGAUUUAACGGUACAGGAAGGCAAGAUAGCAGAGAGAGAGAGAGAGAGAGAGUGAGUGUUCUUGUCAGUUCUUGCAGGUGUAUUUUGUUAGAAUAUGUCAGGUAUUUAUAUUGUAUAUACUUAUUUGUAUUUUUCAUUAAUGGUGUAGAUUUACACCUUCUAAUCUAAUGGUCAAAAAAUGCUAGCAUUCCUAAUUCCUAAGUAACUUACUAGCAUUCCACCCUUUUCCCAUUGAAAGAAAUGUAAAUUCAAAGAAAAAAAGUAUUUUCUCAUUGACUUUUCCACCCUAAAACCCUGAGACGGUGGAAAUAUUUAUCUAGAUGGAACAGAAAUUUUGUGAAUAGAUCUAUUUUUGGGAGCUUUCUUAGAAUUUGUUUCACCGUGAUGUUAUGAAAUUCAUUUAAAAAAAAAAAAAAUUUGUAUGGAAGUAGUAGGAAAAUCAAAUGGAAAUGGACAGAAACUGUCUACAACCAUACCUACCCCUAAUUUUUUUUUGGUAGAACCCUAAUUUUCUUUGCAUUCAGUGAAAUCUGUAUUACACAAAAAAAAUUAGCAAGAUGAAGAAGAGAACAUGUAAUGAGAGAAUAGGAAUUUACAUUUUAGGUUUUACUACCACGCCAACACGCCAUUGGAAACGAUUUCACCAUUUGAGGUAAUCAAUUAUUUUCAACGGUAAGAUACAAAUAUUGCGAUUUAGUGGUCAAGUAGUCGAAACAAUCUCUAGAUAUUCUAGGACGUGGAGUCUCGUGCAUUGGAUAUGCUUUUUUAGUUAUUUUUACUCGUUUUCAACACUUCGCCUAAGAAACCUAGGGUUGAAUGGAGGUUACAUUAGAUGUGUGAGACAGUUAUUCGUUGCAGCAUUCAUCUGGACAAGACUUGCCUUGGGAAGGCUUCCUAGUUCCUACAACAACAUUGUGUGAGCAUUCUUAACAAACUCUUCAUAUUAUUUCACACUUUGAACACAAGCCUUACAAUCAAACACUCCUUGACAAUCUCCCUCUCUCCCUCUCUCUCUCUCUCUCUCUCUCUCUCUCUCUCUCUCUCUCUUGAAAAAGAUACCUUCUUGAUUGCAUAGCUGGAUACCAAAAUACAGACCAAGGACCUAAGAAGGGAGGAUUGUACUUCCAAAUGGGUUAUUUCCAGCCACUUUUAGUCAGAGGACUAAAAUUGCCAUUCUUCAAUAACUUGAAUAAACUAAUUGGAAAAAAAAAAAGGAGGGGUAUUGAAAUGAAAUUCUCAAAGGAAGUGGUGUUGCUGUUUAGUUUCAUAGGAGUCUGCUUUGUAUAUAGACAGUUCUGGGUGCUUCUUGAGAUAGGUAUCUGUUUCCAUAAUCCAAUCUUUGUAUAUAUCUUCUCACGUUGUAGAAUACCUAUGUUUUCUGUUUUCAUAAGGGUUGCGCUUGGUCCAACGGUAAGGUACUAAUGUUGUGACCUGGUGGUCGGGUGGUCAAAACAGUCUCUUGACAUUCUCGGGGUAAGGCUGCGUAGUUCUUGCCCCGACCUCACACAUGUGGGAGCCUUGUGCACCAGGUAUGCCCUUUUUUGGGUCCCUUCCCCCCCUCCCCUUUUUUGUUGUUGUUGUCAAAGAGAAGUGAUAUUAACCAUCUCGUAUCAUCAUUAUUAGUUACUGUCAUCUCCCACAAUUUUUAGACCCUAUUGGAUCCACGUUGCCAACCCCAUUUAGGUGGGAGAAGGUUAUGGUUGUUGUUAUUAUUAUAUUAUUGCUAUCUAUUACAAGGUUAUGGUUGUUGUUGUUAUUAAUAUCUUAUCACUAUCUAGUACCUACCAAAAUUUGGCAAGUAAUUUGAUGCAAUUAUUUAUUUAUUAUUGGUUUUGGAGGAUGAGUUAUACUGUUUUCUGUUUCAUUUACCAGCAUGUUUGCAAACGAUGUAUUUGAUUUUGAGCUUGUUCUUUAUGCAAGGAAUGGAUGCAUUUAUCCUGUUUUCUGUUUCCUGUUUCAUUUACUGUUAUGGCCUUCCUGAAGAGUACUUGAAAAGUUCAAUUAGAGAAUUCUUAACAAGUAAUUUUGUUUUUUAACGAUAUAUAAUCAUUUUAUUCAUUUAUAUUCUUGCUACCAGAAAAUGUAGUUUAAUUUGGAUGAAAAUGAAAGUGAACAGAAAUUUGUAUAUAGGAAUGAUGAGGGAAAACCAGACUUGGAAAAAAGGAAGGGGGAAAUUAACUGUCAUAGUUGGUACAUAAAACUCUACCAAAGAGACUGCACUCAUUUCUAAGUAGUAGAAUCAGCUAUCACAUUUGAGUGAUGAUGGUAAGAUAUGAACAAGAUUUCAAACUAACAGGAAUCUUUAGUAGUGAUACAUUGGUAGAUCGGAUGAGACCCAGAUUUUGUUGACAAGUAGAUCCCAAUAAUCUGGCCUACAUGUCAACUUUCAGCCUAAACGGAUACUGCCAAGUGGAAAAAUAAGGGGCAUACCUCCUGCCACUGUGGUGUCUUGGAAGGGUUAUAAUGUACGGAGCCUUACCCCUGCUUCACAGAUAGGCUCUUUCCCGACUCAAACCCAUGAUCCACUAGGUUGCAAUGGAGCAACCUUACCAUUGCCCCAAGGCCCACCCUCUGCCAAGUGGCAAAAUAAAGCUUUCAAAAUCUAAGGACUUGGGAGAGAGCAUGGUCAUACACUGUUAGGCUGAAAAAUACAAGGAUGCAUGCCAAUACACGAGGGUAUUUAUUGCAUUAGGUUCUGAACAUCGUUUGAGGUAACAGUACUGAUUGGCUAUUAGUAUCAGCUGUGAAUGAUUUCAAUUCUUGACCGAUACCAUAUCAGUGGUAUUGGAAAAAAGGGAGGGCAAAAUGGUCCAAAAACCCCCUAAAUCGGUAUUUUUGGGGAAAAAUGGUCCGAUCCAGUCUGAUACAAAUCGUCCAUAUCGGUAUCAGCCGAGACCAAUACGGGUACUAAUACCAAAGUCCAUGGUUCUGAAAUUUGACAAGUAGCUAAUCCAAACCUAGGCCUAUCUAUCCAACUGACCUGUCUACCCAACUAUCAGAAUCACCACAUCAUCCUGUCAUAUGGUUCAAAAUGGUGGGCCAUGGAGAUAAGUUAUCUACACAGGGAGUUGUGAAAACAAUUUCCCCCCUCUCCCUUCUAAUAGCAUUAGUAGAGGAUUUUAUGAAGUGGAGAUCAGGUGGCUUGAAUUCUUAGGGUUUAGUCAAUAUUUAAAUGAUUGAGGUUGAGGAAGUUGAGUACAAGGUGGAAUUGCAUCUUUCACAGCCAAUGUUCCCCCUGGAGUCUACAAACUCCUUGUGCCAUUAAAGAUCUUCCCUUGUCCUUUGGAUGGCAUAUAGAAAUACAACAGUUGACCAUCUGAUUUCUAGGUAACACUAGCUGCUGGCUAUUAUGUAUGUUUUGAAUAGGAAUGAGCUUAGACUGUUAUUAUGUUGCACAUUACCUGUCACCUAUGAGAUUUGGAAUCAUUUUCUUUGCUUCUUUUGGAUAUUGGUUCAAACACUAUGUGGUUCUUUUCAAUGAUUUGGUGUACUCCCCACUCUUGGCUUGACUGUAAGGGCAUAACAUAGAAUUUUCAAUUACAAAAGACAGAAUCACAAGAUUGUUAGCAAGGUGUUUAUGUUCUUGUGGAUCUUUAUUUGAGGCAUUUGCAAAUAAUGAGCUUUGAAAGUCCAAAGUGAAACUGAUGGCUUAUCACUUUCAUUUGCAAUGUUCAAAUCGCUGCUGCUGUAUCACUCCAGGAAUCUCCCUCUCCCCCCCCCCCCCCCCCCCCAAAAAAAUCCUAGGAUGAGUUGGGGUGGUGUUGUUCCUUUUCUCUCUCUCUAUCUCUUCUUUUUUUUUUUUUUUUUUAAAUAAUAUUUCAACUUACCAAAAGUAGUACUAAAUCCAUAGCAGAAGAAUCCACCAACUCUUGAGAUCUUAUCGUAUGACCAUUGAAGUUUACUUUCAUGGUUUCUAAUUUAGAGGGGGGGAUUGAGGACAUCUAUUUACAUCUUUAUUUAUCGAGGGACUAUCUCUCCAUAAUAUAAUUCACCAUGUAGUUGAAUUUCUUAGUCCUUUACUGGACAUUUGGGUCAAUUAAUUUGAUUCAUUAUCCUUCUGUCCUUCCUAACAGAUAGUUUCAAGUUUCAGAAAAAAGGGAAAACCAAACAAAAGAGUUCAUUGUUGAUUUCAAGCUGAAAUAAGUUCACUAGUUAUCCAUCACAUGCAUAAUGGCAAUGUGAUUGAGUUGGUUGUGCAAAAAUGUCCAUGGAAGGAAAAAUGUGUAAGCACUCUUUUGGUUUUUGUGUAGCCAUGUAUCUCUUCUGAUCCAGCAGAAUGACUUCUAUUUCUCAGAGUUGCUCACUUGCUUGUACUGUUAAAACAAAUUUCCAUGCAUAUUUGAGGGAGAACAAAUGAUUCCUCUUGUGUUUAUUACCUCACCUGUUCAUGUGGCAAGUGUCUAUUCAAGAAACCUACUGGUCGUAACAGUAAAGAUUUUGGAUAAAGAUAAACAAUCUGUUUUGUAACUGUUCCAUUGUUUCAGUCAAUUUACUCAUGCCAAUUUAUAUAGGCACUAUUCAUCUAGAUGUAAAAUGGCAGGAACUAAAAUAAAACAGGGAAAGUGUUGGAGAAGCUUGCUUUGGAAGCAGGAUUUUCUAAUGCCAAACAUUAUGAGAUUGGUGGAUGCCUUAUGGGGAACUUGGUGGCAACACAUUAGAUGGUAUUUUCACUUGUUCUCUCUUCAACUUCGCAGCCUCACUGGGUGAAAGAAUAUAAAUAUUGCCAGAUCUGCAAUGUGAUAAGCAUGAAAAUAGGCAUGAAUUUAUCUUUGGGAACUCUUUGUAUUUUCCUUAUUUUUAUUUGAGUAACUAUUUUGGUGGGAGCAAUUUUUAAAGUCUUAUUUGAAAUGCUUCCUUGUACUUCAAAGCUGUAAUAUGUACUAUUUAUUUCAUAGAAAUUUGAAAUGAAAUCUUAAUUCAUUCUCUGCUGGUAUUAUUUGGAGUUUUGGUUAUGCUCCCAUAAAUAAAUUUUCAUGUAUGACCCUAGAAACUCUCUAUGUUUGAACAAAUAUGAUUUGAGAGAGAGAAAGAGAGAGAGGGUGCAAUAUUGAGUUGAGAUUUUUGAGCAGCUAUCAACUCCAUUUCUUGAUCUAUAUGUUACUUUAUUGAUUAUCUACUCCAAUUGCUGUUGCUGUAUAAAUUGAGAAUAAUUGUGUAAAGAAAAUUUUACUUAACAUUUUUACACUGCCAAAUGUUGUCAGUUCGAAUUUUCCUCAGAUUGGCCCUGCCUGGCUACUCUCUUCAAUAGAAAAGCUUUAUUUAGCUCAUCCAGACAUCAUCAACCUUUUCCUGUUAGACUCCUAUAAGUGAAGUUAGCCAAACUUAAUAAGUUUAUAUCCAAACUGCUCGGGCUCUUGCACUUACGAACGCACCGGCAUGGGUUUUUGUUUACUUUUCUUCUGGGGUCACCUGGCACUAAAGGAACUAUGAGAGACAAUAGCAAUUGAAAGUGCAGAACUGGGAGGAUGACUUUGGUCUCUGCUUGUAUCACUGAGUAUAAAAGGUGGAGUGGUGGGUGCAGGGAGUUCACCAUUCUUCAACAGCAUUUGUAGGGCCUUUGACAUUGAUGGUCGCAACGAAGGCACCUCUUGCAUGCACAAGAAUCCCACAUGCACUACCCUUAAAAUCUCCAUCUUAAUGUCAUCACUGUGAUUGUAUCUGUGCAACAUCAAAUUUGGGUCGAUAAGAUUCUCGGCUGUCCCCAGUUGGAAAUGCUUCCAAGCCUAUUUUGCCCAAAUGGCAUAAGGUAGAACAGAAAAGAAACAAAAUGUUAACAAAAAAAGAAACAAAAUGUUAUCAAGGAACUAAUGGAUCAUCAGAAGAUUUAAAGAGUAGCAGGUGAAAGUACUUUUCUAAGGAAAAUAGGAAAAUGGAAAAUACAAUGUAUAGAAACUUACAGUAGUGACAAGACUAUCAGAGUAAUCAGAUGUUUCAUUUCUGCUGUUCUGCAUUCCAGUAACAAUCUCUAGUAACAGCACCCCAAAGCUAUACACAUCUACCUUUUCUGUUAACUGACCACAGGUUAUGUACUCUGGAGCCAUAUACCCUCUGGGAUUCAGGAAAAAAAAAACAGAAAUGACCAAGUUCUUCAUAUAUCCAGUACGUAGAUGCAUGCAUCCAUCUAAAUUUUCAUACGCAUGUUGAAAAAUAUUGAUUUUAUUUGAGUAUCUACAUAUUCAUGAACUUAUAUGGAAACUUAAUCUUCAUCCCUAGGGACAUACUUUCAUUGGUUGUCCACAAAAGACAUUAUAAGCUUCAAAGUUAAGGUUAUGGAAAUCACAUUACUUCAAUCAAUGAUUCUUCUCUUUAAUGACUGAUGAAACAACAAAAUAAUGCAAACUUACAGUGUUCCUGCAAUGGCUGUACUGAUGUGGCUUUUAUCUUCUUGGAAAGACCUUGCCAACCCAAAAUCAGCAAUUUUAGCUUGAAGCUUUGAAUCUAAUAGGAUGUUGCUGACUUUUAUAUCUCUGUGGAUGAUUCUAACAUUGGGGUUCUCAUGAAGGUAGACCAAACCUAAUGCUGUCCCUUUGAUUAUUUCAAAUCUUAUUUUCCAGUUCAGUGCUUUACCUCUGCUUGGGUCUACAAAAGAAAAACUCCAUUCAGUUUUUGCAAAGCUGUUCAAAACUAUAAACAGAGCUACAUAUACGCAAGUGCAACCGAAUUAUGAGUUGAAAUUUAAGAGCAGAACAAUUGAAGGAAAGGUUGCAGAGUGAAACAUUUGACAUUACCGAAGAGGAAGCCAUCGAGGCUCUUAUUUGGGAGAAUUUCAUAGACUAGAAGGCUUUCUGGUCCUGAACAGCUACAACCCAACAACCUGACCAAAUUCUUAUGUUCCAGGGUACUUAUCAUGUUAACUUCAUUAUAAAAAUCUGCAGCUCUGUAUCUUUGAUUAAAGAAAAGCCUCUUCACAGCAAUCUCCCUUCCAUCGGGCAGAACUCCCUAGAAGUAGAGGUGAGUGAAUCAAGUCAGAGGACAAUUGAACAGCAUAUCAAAAGAAUGGUUAGCUGUAACUCCGAAGUUUUGACAGUUCCUCAACAUUUGGAUCAUGGUUUUGACUUUAGAUGCCCAAGAACAGAUUUAGUACUAUGACACAGCCAUUUGGUUUCCUUACUUAUGGGAAAGUUACCUUGUAAACUGUUCCAAAUCCUCCUUGACCAAGCUUAUUGGUAUCAUCAAAAGAUCCGGUGGCCUUUUCAAGUGUAGAGUACUUAAAAUUCAAGCUACUGUCAUUAAGCAUCUUCGCCAUUUUUACCGUAUCAUUUGUACCUGAAAGCAGAAUAUGAGAGAGACAAAAUAUCAGCAUUAACAUCUAACCUUAUUAAAACUGUAUUGUCCUGUUAAAUUUUUAUCUUCUAGAACUCAAGAGGUUUUUCUGCACUUCAGAAGUAGCAAGGCUAUGUUUCAAUUCAAAAGGUUCCUAAGAAAAUCAUAUACUACUAAAUGCUUAUUACAUAUAAAUGAUUGUGAUUUGAAAUCCAGUAAGUAUAAAUUUUGAAAAAGAAUUGUACCUCUUCUUUUCUUUUGUAUUCUUCUGUGCCUCCAGAUGUGAACUCCAAUAGCUACCACAAUGAUUAAAGCAGCCACAGAACUCAGAAUCGCAACCACCAUCGCUACUUUGCUCCCUACAAAGGCCAUCAAUGCAGAUGACUAGUGAGGAAGUUUGUGUCUGAAUACCUCAUGAAACACCCUGUGUACAGUGCCCGCCCUUCUGACCAUGGUAAGCAAUCCAUCAUCGAGGCUGAUGCUUCAUCCAAACAUGUUCUGCAAGAGUUUGCAUUCAAGGUUUUCCAGCAAUUUGCCAGCACAUAAGCUGAGUCAUUCGUCGACCCUGGCACAAGUACCACAGACUUGGAAUAGCCUCCCUGGUAUGGUGCAGCUGCAACUGCAUCCAUCACAGCUUUUCUGGCCGACUUCUGGAAUUCAGGUCCCUUUCGCGAUGUAUUUCCACACAGAGCCUUGUCUCCAGGACCUGUAAACUCCUGGUAGAAGCUAUAAUUGUCAAAACGCAAGAAGCAACCAUCCAAGUAGGUGCUGCCUCCAAGGUAACCGAAGCAUUUGGGAUUGACAAUGCGGGCUUGGGCAUAGCAAAGAUCGCAGUCAACAGAGGAGAGGUCUCCAUAGCACUGGGCAAGGCCGUAGCAGGCAUUAGGCCCUGAACCCACAUUUGCUACUGCAAAACCAGAAGUCUGAGUCUUGUUGCCAAUGAUAUCAAAGGCAGCGAUGUAGUUGGAGACAGAGACGGUUGGGUUGUGGUCUGAUCUAUUUUCGCACUCGAGGUCUGUUGUGCAAUUGAGCACUCCUCUGCACCUGAGCUCAACUGUGUUGGAUCUUGGAUCUGCUACUAUUGUUUCUACUAGUAGAGUUAUGAAAAGCAUGAAGAGAAGCAACGGAGGAGGACCUGGUUUCUUCAUACUUUUGAUGAAAUGAGGUGUAUGAGCCUAUUCCAGUAAUACAGCAGAACGGUCUUAUAUUAGCUGCCUUUAACUAAGCAUUGAAGAAUAUUCAAUUCAGAUUAUGCAGCUGUUAUUAAGAAGUCCCA